rnacentral:rRNA from 1 species
GACGAACGCUGGCGGCGUGCCUAAUACAUGCAAGUAGGACGCAGUUGCGAACGGUUGCGUAACGCGUAGGUAACUACCUAUUAGAGGGGGGUAACUAUUGGAAACGAUAGCUAAUACCGCAUACUAGUAGAUGGACCUGCGUUGUAUUAGCUAGUAGGUAGGGUAAUGGCCUACCUAGGCAACGAUACCUAGCCGACCUGGGAAGGGGAUCCGGCACACUUGGACUGAGACAAGGCCCAGAAUCCCACGGGAGGCAGGAGUAGGGAAAUUUCGGAAAUGGGGGGAACGCCGACCACGCAACGCCGCGGGAGUGAAGAAGGGUUUCGGAUCGUAAAGCUCCGUUGUUAAGGAAGCGGUACUUAACCAGAAAGGGACGGCUAACUACGUGCCAGCAGCCGCGGUAAUAC